rnacentral:rRNA from 1 species
CACGUAGGGGGCGAGCGUUGUCCGGAUUCAUUGGGCGUAAAGGGCUCGUAGGCGGCUCAGUAAGUCGGGUGUGAAAACUCCAGGCUCAACCUGGAGACGCCACUCGAUACUGCUGUGGCUAGAGUCCGGUAGGGGAGCAUGGAAUUCCUGGUGUAGCGGUGAAAUGCGCAGAUAUCAGGAGGAACACCAGUGGCGAAGGCGGUGCUCUGGGCCGGAACUGACGCUGAAACACGAAAGCGUGGGUAGCAAACAGG